ACGUUGGAUACUGGAGCGGGGAAGGAUUUCGUGCCAACGGCACUCGUACACGAGUUGUUCGGAUACUGAGCACAACGUUACACCGUUUUGUUAGGAAAGUGAAGGUGCGUCGGCGGCGUGCGUUUUUUUUUUGGUUUGUUUUUUUUUUUUAAAAAAAAAAAAAAAAAAGGCGCCCCCCCCUGGGCCUUUUUGAAAAGGGGAAAAAA
rnacentral:rRNA from 1 species